rnacentral:rRNA from 1 species
AUUGAACGCUGGCGGCAGGCCUAACACAUGCAAGUCGAGCGGAUGAGGGUAGCUUGCUAUCUGAUUCAGCGGCGGACGGGUGAGUAAUGCCUAGGAAUCUGCCUGGUAGUGGGGGACAACGUUUCGAAAGGAACGCUAAUACCGCAUACGUCCUACGGGAGAAAGUGGGGGAUCUUCGGACCUCACGCUAUCAGAUGAGCCUAGGUACGAUUAGCUAGUUGGUGAGGUAAAGGCUCACCAAGGCGACGAUCGUUAACUGGUCUGAGAGGAUGAUCAGUCACACUGGAACUGAGACACGGUCCAGACUCCUACGGGAGGCAGCAGUGGGGAAUAUUGGACAAUGGGCGAAAGCCUGAUCCAGCCAUGCCGCGUGUGUGAAGAAGGUCUUCGGAUUGUAAAGCACUUUAAGUUGGGAGGAAGGGCAGUAAGUUAAUACCUUGCUGUUUUGACGUUACCGACAGAAUAAGCACCGGCUAACUUCGUGCCAGCAGCCGCAGUAAGAC